rnacentral:rRNA from 1 species
UACGUAGGGGGCAAGCGUUGUCCGGACUUACUGGGCGUAAAGCGCGUGCAGGCGGAUGAGUAUGUGCCGUGUGAAAGCUCUCGGCUUGCCCGGGAGAGGUCGCGGUAGACAGCUUAUCUGGAGGCUCGGAGAGGUCAGUGGAAUUCCCGGUGUAGUGGUGAAAUGCGUAGAUAUCGUAAGGAAGGCCGGUGGCGAAAGCGAGCCUCUGGACAGUUACUGACGCUGAUGCACGAAGGCCAGGGGAGCAAACGGG